UGUGGGGCGGAGGGGGCUUCCUUCAGCCUAGAUUGCGAGAGGGUGCAGGCCAGGCCGAGGGACCCCACUGAUGCAUG
rnacentral:pre_miRNA from 1 species